rnacentral:rRNA from 1 species
CCCUGAAGCAGCAACGCCGCGUGGAGGAUGAAGGUUUUAGGAUUGUAAACUCCUUUUGUUAGAGAAGAUAAUGACGGUAUCUAACGAAUAAGCACCGGCUAACUCCGUGCCAGCAGCCGCGGUAAUACGGAGGGUGCAAGCGUUACUCGGAAUCACUGGGCGUAAAGAGCGCGUAGGCGGGAUAGUCAGUCAGGUGUGAAAUCCUAUGGCUUAACCAUAGAACUGCAUUUGAAACUACUAUUCUAGAGUGUGGGAGAGGUAGGUGGAAUUCUUGGUGUAGGGGUAAAAACCGUAGAGAUCAAGAGGAAUACUCAUUGCGAAGGCGACCUGCUGGAACAUUACUGACGCUGAUUGCGCGAAACCGUGGGGAGCAAACAGGAUUAGAUACCCUGGUAGUCCACGCCCUAAACGAUGGAUGCUAGUUGUUGGAGGGCUUAGUCUCUCCAGUAAUGCAGCUAACGCAUUAAGCAUCCCGCCUGGGGAGUACGGUCGCAAGAUUAAAACUCAAAGGAAUAGACGGGGACCCGCACAAGCGGUGGAGCAUGUGGUUUAAUUCGAAGAUACACGAAGAACCUUACCUAGGCUUGACAUUGAGAGAAUCCGCUAGAAAUAGUGGAGUGUCUGGCUUGCCAGACCUUGAAAACAGGUGCUGCACGGCUGUCGUCAGCUCGUGUCGUGAGAUGUUGGGUUAAGUCCCGCAACGAGCGCAACCCCCUUUCUUAGUUGCUAACAGGUCAUGCUGAGAACUCUAAGGAUACUGCCUCCGUAAGGAGGAAAAAGGUGGGGACGACGUCAAGUCAUCAUGGCCCUUACGCCUAGGGCUACACACGUGCUACAAUGGGGUGCACAAAGAGAAGCAAUACUGCGAAGUGGAGCCAAUCUUCAAAACACCUCUCAGUUCGGAUUGUAGGCUGCAACUCGCCUGCAUGAAGCUGGAAUCGCUAGUAAUCGCAAAUCAGCCAUGUUGCGGGGAAUACGUUCCCGGGUCUUGUACUCACCGCCCGUCACACCAUGGGAGUUGUGUUUGCCUUAAGUCAGGAUGCUAAAUUAGCUACUGCCCACGGCA